CCAGAGUUUGAUGACAGCGCAUUUUUGUCCUAUUAAACCGGUCCCUUGGUGAGAAACCCUAUGGCACCAUGGCUCUUAGAUCAGACACGUCUGCUUAUACACACUGGUCUCCUCGGGUCUCCAUGUGGUUGCAGGCCUCUCAUUUGUGUGAACCCCAAACGAUGCAUUUUUACUAAGCUGCUAAGUAUUCAGACCUCUUGACAUUUUUCCACAUUUUGUUACGUUACAGCCUUAUUCUAAAAUGGAUUUAAAUGACAAAAUGUCCUCAUCAAUCUACACACAAUUACAAUUAAUGACAAAGCAAAAACGUUUUUUUUGUUUUUUUUUGCAAAUGUAUUAAAAAAAUAAAAAACAGAAAUACCUUAUUUAAACAUAAGUAUUCAGACACAGAUGAGAAAGAUGAACGGAGCAAAGUACAGAUAUAUCCUUGAUGAAACAGAGAUAUCCUUGAUGAAACAGAGAGGUCCUUGAUGAAACAGAGAGGUCCUUGAUGAAACAGAGGUCCUUGAUGAAACAGAGAUAUCCUUGAUGAAACAGAGAGGUCCUUGAUGAAACAGAGGUCCUUGAUGAAACAGAGGUCCUUGAUGAAACAGAGAUGUCCUUGAUGAAACAGAGAGGUCCUUGAUGAAACAGAGAUAUCCUUGAUGAAACAGAGAGGUCCUUGAUGAAACAGAGAUAUCCUUGAUGAAACAGAGAGGUCCUUGAUGAAACAGAGAUAUCCUUGAUGAAACAGAGAGGUCCUUGAUGAAACAGAGAUAUCCUUGAUGAAACAGAG